rnacentral:rRNA from 1 species
CCUACGGGGGACAGCAGUGGGGGAUAUUGCACAAUGGGGGAAACCCUGAUGCAGCGACGCCGCGUGUGGGAAGACGGUCCUCUGGAUUGUAAACCACUGUCCCCAGGGACGAAGAUGACGGUACCUGGGGAGGAAGCUCCGGCUAACUAGGUGCCAGCAGCGGCGGUAAUACGUAGGGAGCGAGCGUUGUCCGGAAUUACGGGGGGAAAAGGGAGCGUAGGCGGGGAGGAAAGUUGAGUGUCAAAACUACCGGCUAAACUGAGAAUCGCACUCAAAACUGCAGCUCUUGAGUGAAGUAGAGGCAGGCGGAAUUCCUAGUGUAGCGGUAAAAUGCGUAGAUAUUAAGAGGAACACCAGUGGCGAAGGCGACCUGCUGGGCUUUUACUGACGCUGAGGCUCGAAAGUGUGGGGAGCAAACAGGAUUAGAUACCCGUGUAGUC